rnacentral:rRNA from 1 species
AUGAUUGGAAAGGCUCUUUCCAAGCAUAAGGAACUGAAGAACCGGAACCUCCCCUCCUCCCUCCCGCGACGCUCCCGCAGGCGUCCGGGGGGCAACCCUAGCACCGCCGCCGGUCCCCCCUCCUCUCCCUACCCCCUCGCGGCCGCCCGGGGGCGCGAGCGGGCGAAGCCCGCUCGUCGCUGGCGGCGGCGGGGCCUUCUUGUCUCCGCGCGUGGGGGUUUCUGUGAGGGCCGGACGCCUCUGGCCGGAUGCGGCGCUUGGCGCUGGCCGUGGCAGCUCAGCAGCGCGCCGACGUGGGCUGUCGGCGGCGCAUGCCAGCGAUGGGAUGGGCAGUGCGGUGGUGGUGCAGGCUGGAGGCUGGUGGUGGCGGCGGCGCGCCCAGAUCCGCCUCUGGCGCCGCGAGUUGCGGGCGACCUGGAUCACGGUCGGCCUUCCCUACCAUGGCUCGUGGGGGGGCAGCGGGUGGAUGCGUGUGCCGUUGCCCGUCCGAGCCCUUGUGGCAGGUCGAUGUUGCACGGCGCUGGAGACUCCCCUGGUGGCCAUCCAUGGAUGCGGCGGCGGGCUCUGCUUCCUCAUUAG